CUACUGACAACAGCUACCAGACCUACUGACAACAGUUACCAGCUACCAGACCUACUGACAACAGUUACCAGCUACCAGACCUACUGACAACAGAUACCAGACCUACUGACAACAGCUACCAGCUACCAGCCGUCUGGUCCACAACUCCUGUUCAACCACCACUCAACGUUCAAACAACUUGUGUAUCACGACGUCAGGGACUGCAGACGACCAACAGAAGACCUCAUCCCCACAUAUCACCCCCCCCCCUUCGAAUAACGGCACGUCAACUCAAUGUCUUCAACAGCGACGUCCACAAUGUCAAAAAAAACAACCUAAAUGGACCCUUUAACAGAAACUCUACUCUGCGUCGGUUCUUCAACGUUAGCCCAACAUCUGGGCUACGUUAUGACGUGCGCCAAAACCUCCGACGUUUUAACAACGUCUAUGCAACGUCCUACUGACAGGUUGGUCACAUUGGUCCUAAUGAAUACUGGACCAGACGUUCGUUCCCCAACGUUCACACAAUAUAUUCUAUGAAUAGAAUAGAGCCUAUAUCGCUCAUAUUCAAAUCUGGAGAGUUCCUCUGCAUUGUUUCAUUGUUCCACUCUAAUCAGGUUCUGAUUUAGACCUGGGACACCAGGUGGGUGAUUCCCCUCUAAUCAGGGCCUGAUUUAGACCUGGGACACCAGGUGGGUUAUUCCACUCUAAUCAGGGACUGAUUUAGACCUGAGACACCAGGUGGGUGAUUCCCCUCUAAUCAGGGCCUGAUUUAGACCUGGGACACCAGGUGGGUGAUUCCCCUCUAAUCAGGGCCUGAUUUAGACCUGGGACACCAGGUGGGUGAUUCCCCUCUAAUCAGGGCCUGAUUUAGACCUGGGACACCAGGUGGGUGAUUCCCCUCUAAUCAGGGCCUGAUUUAGACCUGGGACACCAGGUGGGUUAUUCCCCUCUAAUCAGGGCCUGAUUUAGACCUGGGACACCAGGUGGGUGAUUCCCCUCUAAUCAGGGCCUGAUUUAGACCUGGGACACCAGGUGGGUGAUUCCCCUCUAAUCAGGGACUGAUUUAGACCUGGGACACCAGGUGGGUGAUUCCCCUCUAAUCAGGGACUGAUUUAGACCUGGGACACCAGGUGGGUGAUUCCCCUCUAAUCAGGGCCUGAUUUAGACCUGGGACACCAGGUGGGUGAUUCCCCUCUAAUCAGGGCCUGAUUUAGACCUGGGACACCAGGUGGGUGAUUCCCCUCUAAUCAGGGCCUGAUUUAGACCUGGGACACCAGGUGGGUGAUUCCCCUCUAAUCAGGGCCUGAUUUAGACCUGGGACACCAGGUGGGUUAUUCCCCUCUAAUCAGGGCCUGAUUUAGACCUGGGACACCAGGUGGGUUAUUCCCCUCUAAUCAGGGCCUGAUUUAGACCUGAGACACCAGGUGGGUGAUUCCCCUCUAAUCAGGGCCUGAUUUAGACCUGGGACACCAGGUGGGUGAUUCCCCUCUAAUCAGGGCCUGAUUUAGACCUGGGACACCAGGUGGGUUAUUCCACUCUAAUCAGGGCCUGAUUUAGACCUGGGACACCAGGUGGGUUAUUCCACUCUAAUCAGGGCCUGAUUUAGACCUGGGACACCAGGUGGGUGAUUCCCCUCUAAUCAGGGCCUGAUUUAGACCUGGGACACCAGGUGGGUUAUUCCCCUCUAAUCAGGGCCUGAUUUAGACCUGAGACACCAGGUGGGUGAUUCCCCUCUAAUCAGGGCCUGAUUUAGACCUGAGACACCAGGUGGGUUAUUCCCCUCUAAUCAGGGCCUGAUUUAGACCUGAGACACCAGGUGGGUUAUUCCCCUCUAAUCAGGGCCUGAUUUAGACCUGAGACACCAGGUGGGUUAUUCCCCUCUAAUCAGGGCCUGAUUUAGACCUGAGACACCAGUCAUUCUUCCCCUCUAAUCAGGGCCUGAUUUAGACCUGGGACACCAGGUGGGUGAUUCCCCUCUAAUCAGGGCCUGAUUUAGACCUGAGACGCCAGUCAUUCCUCCCCUCUAAUCAGGGCCUGAUUUAGACCUGAGACACCAGUCAUUCUUCCCCUCUAAUCAGGGCCUGAUUUAGACCUGAGACACCAGUCAUUCUUCCCCUCUAAUCAGGGCCUGAGUUAGACCUGAGACACCAGUCAUUCUUCCCCUCUAAUCAGAGCCUGAUUUAGACCUGAGACACCAGUCAUUCUUCCCCUCUAAUCAGGGCCUGAUUUAGACCUGGAACACCAGGCGGGUACCAUUAAUGACCAGGUAGAGGAGAAAAACAGCAUUAGUCCAGACCUGGUAGGUAUCUGGUCAUGGGUUGAAGUGCUCACCUUCAGCUUUACACUCAACAUCACCCCCCCCACACCUUCUAUGACACCACUUCAUCACCCUGACAACGGACCCCCCCAUCACCUUCUAUGACAUCACUGCAUCACCCUGACAACGGACCUCCCCAUCACCUUCUAUGACAUCACUUCAUCACCCUGACAACGGACCCCCCACCUUCUAUGACAUCACUGCAUCACCCUGACAAUGGACCCCCCCUCCUCCCUGUUGCCUGGGCAACAAGAACAUUGAAGGUACACUGAAGUAUUUCCGAAGAGGUUUUAUGUUUCUGUUGUUAGUUUUCUGAAAUAGAAAAAGAAAGAUAACAUUUUACUUUUAACUUUAGAUUAAAACGUUUAAAAACAACACAAAUAUAACAAAAUAAAAAGUAAAAUGAGAAAAAAAAAAUACUACAGAAACUACUGAAGACUUUUUAUUUUGAAUUUAUUAUUAAAACAGUUUGUAUUUUAAGUUGUUUUCAUUUAUCCAUUCAUGCUGUUAGCUUCAUAGAUGAGUUUGCUUGUUGUUGGGGGUAUCUAUUAGUUUUUCAGAUACUGUAAUACUGGGUAUCAUUUAAAAAAUGUGUACUUUUUAUGGGUGUUUUUAGAUAUGUUCUACUUCUGAUCUGGAACCUGGGCCUGUCACUUCACUGUCUCCUCCAGCAGACUAAGACUGAAUUAUUUUAUCAUGUUGUUGUUGUUGUUGUUGUUGUUGUUGUUCUGUACUUUAUUCUAAUUGUUUGUAUUUGCUUGAUUCUCACAUGGUGAACAAAUAUGGACAAAGGCGUUUAUUAUUUUGUAUUGCUCUGCCCUAACACUCUCUAGCGCUAGCAUAUGCUACGUACGCUAAGCUAACUGCUAAACUAGCAUAUGCUACGUACGUUAAGCUAACUGCUAAACUAGCAUAUGCUACGUACGCUAAGAUAACUGCUAAAGUAGCAUAUGCUACGUACGCUAAGCUAACUGCUAAACUAGCAUAUGCUACGUACGCUAAGCUAACUGCUAAACUAGCACAUGCUACGUACGUUAAGCUAACUGCUAAACUAGCAUAUGCUACGUACGCUAAGCUAACUGCUAAACUAGCACAUGCUACUUGCUAAGCUUACCGAAACACCCUGUUAGCUUUAUGCUAAGCUAGCAGCAUCACACUCCGCUGAGCUUCAACCCACUGUAAAGCCUUUCUACUAGAGAUCCGUGUCUCUCUGGGUUUGACUAUUGUGCCUUUCCACUAGCCGAUCUUACGAUCUCUGAGCUCAACUGCAGUGCCUGUUGAAUGUGUUUUACUCUCUACACUACACUGGCAUUUCACAGAAUUACUACGUGCCCAAUAGACUGCUUCAUUCUCAGCGGUAGCUGGUCGUUUUGAACUAUGGUCAGGAUUUAAUCCCAAACCGCUUGACGUUUAGAGGUCCAAUUAGGCAGGAGCAUCGUCGACAAGCCGCGAUCAGAUUGAAUCCCUGCCGAUACCUCUCUGGUCCUGGAUCUCUUUGGGUUUCAUACCAACCCGAACACAAACCUAGUAUUCUCUCUCUCUCUCUCGCUGAUUUCUAAAAGGCAACAUAUUCCCUGUGAAAGAUAUGAAUACAUUCAGCUGUCAGAAGGCACUGACAUCUAAUUAGCAUAAUACACAAACCCUCGUGGGCUGUGCCUCAACCCACCACGCCCACAUCUAAUUAGCAUAAUACACAAACCCUCGUGGGCUGUGUCUCAACCCACCACGCCCACAUCUAAUUAGCAUAAUACACAAACCCUCGUGGGCUGUGCCUCAACCCACCACGCCCGCCUGUCAGCCUGGAAUAGACCUUCCUCAUCUGAGGGGGAAGGUGACCUUCCUCAUCUGGGGGGGAAUCGACUUUCCUCAUCUGAGGGGGAAGGUGACCUUCCUCAUCUGAGGUGGAAGGUGACAGAGCUACAGCGGUGUUUUGUCAAGAGAUCGUGGUGAAACAUCCUUGAAAAAUGUGGUCUUCUCACAAAUACUUCUGUAGCGUCCUAACGAGUCAGAUUGGACCAUUUUAAAACAAUUCCAUGUGUAACCAGAUUGUGCGAUUUAGUUAGUUUAGUUGGAACUCAGGGCCCUGGGGCACCUUAGACCCCUUUUCUCUUUUAACAGCUUUGUGAUGGGGAAUAUAAUUAUAUUGAAACUAACCUGCCAACUGGAACUAAGCCUUAGAGACACACACACACAGGUUCUCUCUACCCCCUCACAGUUCCCCUGUAGCUAUAACUCAGGCUGACUUGACCUGCUAGUAACUAACACACAUCGGCCUCCACAUCCAACCUGAAAACAAC